rnacentral:rRNA from 1 species
CUACGGGAGGCAGCAGUAGGGAAUCUUGCGCAAUGGGCGAAAGCCUGACGCAGCAACGCCGCGUGCGGGAUGACGGCCUUCGUGGUUGUAAACCGCUCUCAGCAGGGACGAAAAUGACGGUACCUGCAGAAGAAGUCCCGGCUAACUACGUGCCAGCAGCCGCGGUAAUACGUAGGGGACAAGCGUUGUCCGGAUUCAUUGGGCGUAAAGAGCUCGUAGGCGGUCCAGUAAGUUGGGUGUGAAAGCUCCGGGCUCAACCCGGAGAGGUCACCCAAAACUGCUGUGACUAGAGUCCAGUAGAGGAGCGUGGAAUUCCUGGUGUAGCGGUGAAAUGCGCAGAUAUCAGGAGGAACACCAGCAGCGAAGGCGGCGCUCUGGGCUGGAACUGACGCUGAGGAGCGAAAGCGUGGGUAGCAAACAGGAUUAGAAACCCCGGUAGUCC